CACAUGCAGUCGAACGAUGAAGCCCAGCUUGCUGGGUGGAAGAGUGGCGAACGGGUGAGUAACACGUGAGUAACCUGCCCUGAACUCUGGGAUAAGCACUGGAAACGGUGUCUAAUACUGGAUACGACCUAUCACCGCAUGGUGUGUAGGUGGAAAGAUUUAUCGGUUCUGGAUGGACUCGCGGCCUAUCAGCUAGAUGGUGAGGUAAUGGCUCACCAUGGCGACGACGGGUAGCCGGCCUGAGAGGGUGACCGGCCACACUGGGACUGAGACACGGCCCAGACUCCUACGGGAGGCAGCAGUGGGGAAUAUUGCACAAUGGGCGCAAGCCUGAUGCAGCAACGCCGCGUGAGGGAUGACGGCCUUCGGGUUGUAAACCUCUUUUAGUAGGGAAGAAGCGAAAGUGACGGUACCUGCAGAAAAAGCACCGGCUAACUACGUGCCAGCAGCCGCGGUAAUACGUAGGGUGCAAGCGUUGUCCGGAAUUAUUGGGCGUAAAGAGCUCGUAGGCGGCUUGUCGCGUCUGCUGUGAAAUCCCGGGGCUCAACCCCGGGCCUGCAGUGGGUACGGGCAAGCUAGAGUGCGGUAGGGGAGAUUGGAAUUCCUGGUGUAGCGGUGGAAUGCGCAGAUAUCAGGAGGAACACCGAUGGCGAAGGCAGAUCUCUGGGCCGCUACUGACGCUGAGGAGCGAAAGCAUGGGGAGCGAACAGGAUUAGAUACCCUGGUAGUCCAUGCCGUAAACGUUGGGAACUAGAUGUAGGGCCUGUUCCACGGGUUCUGUGUCGUAGCUAACGCAUUAAGUUCCCCGCCUGGGGAGUACGGCCGCAAGGCUAAAACUCAAAGGAAUUGACGGGGGCCCGCACAAGCGGCGGAGCAUGCGGAUUAAUUCGAUGCAACGCGAAGAACCUUACCAAGGCUUGACAUAUACGAGAACGGGCGAGAGAUCGUCAACUCUUUGGACACUCGUAAACAGGUGGUGCAUGG
rnacentral:rRNA from 1 species